rnacentral:rRNA from 1 species
UGGGGAAUAUUGCACAAUGGGCGGAAGCCUGAUGCAGCAACGCCGCGUGCGGGAUGACGGCCUUCGGGUUGUAAACCGCUUUCGCCUGUGACGAAGCGUGAGUGACGGUAAUGGGUAAAGAAGCACCGGCUAACUACGUGCCAGCAGCCGCGGUGAUACGUAGGGUGCGAGCGUUGUCCGGAUUUAUUGGGCGUAAAGGGCUCGUAGGUGGUUGAUCGCGUCGGAAGUGUAAUCUUGGGGCUUAACCCUGAGCGUGCUUUCGAUACGGGUUGACUUGAGGAAGGUAGGGGAGAAUGGAAUUCCUGGUGGAGCGGUGGAAUGCGCAGAUAUCAGGAGGAACACCAGUGGCGAAGGCGGUUCUCUGGGCCUUUCCUGACGCUGAGGAGCGAAAGCGUGGGGAGCGAACAGGCUUAGAUACCCUGGUAGUCCACGCUGUAAACGGUGGGUACUAGGUGUGGGGUCCAUUCCACGGGUUCCGUGCCGUAGCUAACGCUUUAAGUACCCCGCCUGGGNNNNUACGGCCGCAAGGCUA